rnacentral:lncRNA from 1 species
GGGGGGCCACGUCAGCAGCCGCGUCAGCAGCCACGUCAGCAGUCCCGGCCAACCAGGGCCUGACACGUGGCAAGAUCGCGUCACUCCGAAAGGAGCCACGUUGGCGAUCCGCGUGGGUGCGAUCCGACGGCCCAGAUCAAUCACGCGAUCGGACGGCCCAGAUUCAAUCGCACGGACGGCCCAGAUUCAAUCAAAAACGAACGGCCCAGAUUAAAACAAAAUGAACGGCUGUGAUCAAA